rnacentral:sRNA from 1 species
AAGGAUGAGAAGCUUCGACUAAGGUUCGACUUGAGCGCCAGCGAGAGAGCGUUGCCGCAGGCAACGACCCGAAGGGCGAAGCGCGCAGCGCUGAGUAAUCCUUCCCCCACCACCA